GCCCGCUCAGAAACUUAAAGGAAUUGACGGGGCCCGCACAAGCGGUGGAGCAUGUGGUUAAUUCGAAGCAACGCGAAGAACCUUACCAGGCCUUGACAUCCCGGAGACCCUUAGGAAACUAGGGGGUGCUUCCAUCUGGAAGAAUCUGGAGACAGGUGCUGCAUGGCUGUCGUCAGCUCGUGUCGUGAGAUGUUGGGUUAAGUCCCGCAACGAGCGCAACCCUUGCCUUUAGUUGCCAGCAGUUCGGCUGGGCACUCUAAAGGGACUGCCGGUGUUAAACCGGAGGAAGGUGGGGAUGACGUCAAGUCCUCAUGGCCUUUAUGACCAGGGCUACACACGUACUACAAUGGCCGAUACAAAGGGCAGCGACACUGCGAGGUGAAGCCAAUCCCGUAAAAUCGGUCUCAGUCCGGAUUGGAGUCUGCAACUCGACUCCAUGAAGUUGGAAUCGCUAGUAAUCGUGGAUCAGCAUGCCACGGUGAAUACGUUCCCGGGCCUU
rnacentral:rRNA from 1 species